rnacentral:rRNA from 1 species
AACGAACGCUGGCGGCAGGCCUAACACAUGCAAGUCGAGCGCGCCCUUCGGGGUGAGCGGCGGACGGGUGAGUAACGCGUGGGAACGUGCCCUUUUCUACGGAAUAGCCUCGGGAAACUGAGAGUAAUACCGUAUACGCCCUUUGGGGGAAAGAUUUAUCGGAAAAGGAUCGGCCCGCGUUGGAUUAGGUAGUUGGUGGGGUAAUGGCCUACCAAGCCGACGAUCCAUAGCUGGUUUGAGAGGAUGAUCAGCCACACUGGGACUGAGACACGGCCCAGACUCCUACGGGAGGCAGGAGUGGGGAAUCUUAGACCAUGGGGGCAACCCUGAUCUAGCCAUGCCGCGUGAGUGAUGAAGGCCUUAGGGUUGUAAAGCUCUUUCAGCUGGGAAGAUAAUGACGGUACCAGCAGAAGAAGCCCCGGCUAACUCCGUG